GGGAGUGGCCAGGUGCUGGUGUGCCUCCUGGUCUUCAAAACCAGUGCGAGGCGUUAAGAGCGUCUCUGGUGGGUUCGAUUCCCAUCCAUUCCC
rnacentral:tRNA from 1 species